UAUUGCUAGCACAGACGCUAAAUAUCGGCUGGCAGAAAGAAAUUUAGCGAUUUAGUUUACGAUAUGGUUUGUUUUUAAAUCAUUUCUAAUCACUGCGACUUUAUUUCUUGCUUUUAGUCGCGAGCUUGAACAGUACGGAGUCCAAUGCAGUCGGCUACGGAGACGGUGGAGAACGCCUCCAUCCUUUCGAGCGGCUCGUCGCAGGAAGGCCACCGCCUGUGGAUCGGCAACAUCGACGCUAAAAUCACAGAGUAUCACCUGGUGAAGCUCCUGGAGAAAUUCGGACAGGUGGAGCAGUUUGAUUUCCUGUUCCACAAGUCCGGACCGCUGGAGGGUCAGCCGAGAGGAUACUGCUUCGUCAACUUCCACACCAAAGAGGUUCCUCUCACAUGUCUGAUUCAGAAGUGUCCAUGUUUGAUGCUACUUCUGGAGGCUGAACGGGCCAUACAGUGUCUCAAUGGAAAGCUGGCGUUGUCCAAGAAACUGGUGGUGCGUUGGGCCCACGCACAGGUAAUGGUUCUCUCCUCACUAACGGGAAUAAGGAACGAACACACAGACCCGGACCCGGACCCGUCAUGGCGUCUCUACUCUGUCUGGCUAGUCUUUUAGUAAAGUUGUGUAAACGUUUUCAGAUGAACUGAAUAUUUUACAAAAGUUAUCCAGGUUUACGUCCUACUCAAAUGGCUGUAUAUUACCAAGCACAUUCACGAUAUGGUUGUUUAACGUUUAGCCACGCCCACAAACCCCCAUAAACGGCAAAGGGAGCGGAAGAUGGCGGCUAAACAGUGAACGAGCGCCUCCUGAAGUGUAGCGUUAAAUCUUCCGAUAACGCAGCUCAGCUACCAUAGACACACUAACUCCACCCGACACUUUUUAUAGGGUACCAAUACUUUCGAAGGAUGUUCGACAAGAACGAGUCGUUAAUACGAAACGACUCGGUUUCACAUGACUUUCAUUAAACUGAUUCAAUAACGUGAAAAAAAUUUCCAUCUGUGUAUCCAGAGCUUCGUGAUGUGAGAUUUGCAACCGUGGUGUCUUAAUAGGAUCUUCUGUGUGUGUGUGUGUGUGUGUGUGUGUGUGUGUGUGUGUGUGUGUGUGUGUGUGUCAGAGGUUUGAGCCCUACAGAGGAGAUAAGAACCUGCCUGCUAGCUUGGAGCCGUCGUGCAGCGAAGCAGAAGAGCAGCCGACCUCGCUGAGUGCUGUAUCGCCGACCGCCGUGAUUUCCUCAAGCCGUGUGUGUGUGUGUGAGUGAGUGAGAGACGCGCGCGCAGUGGCAUAAACCAUUGAAGAAGAAUAAUGUGUAGUUGUUAAAGCUGCAUUAUCACUACAUAUGUGCUAUAUUAUAGAACUGUUUAUUUGCAUAAUUUUAUAUUCACACAUUGAAAUCUGUAUUUAUUUUAUAAUUAAGUAUCGAGUUGUUUUUGUUUGUUUUGUUGUGCACCUUUCUAACACCCUCUCUAAAGAAAGGAGUAAAUAAAUGUGUCUAAAUAAAAAGACACCCACGGUCACUUUAGAAAGUGAUAUAACACCAAGUAACACAAAUAAACAAACAAACAAAGAUCUAGAUGAACAUUGACAAACAGGUAAGUUUUAUUUGUGUGUUUGUGUGUUUGUUUAUUCAAUUAUUUGUUUGUUUAUUUUGUAACACCCAAAAUUGCUUUUUUAUUUAUGCGACACAGUAAUUAAUAAAUAAAUAAACGAGCAAACAAAUAUGUAAAUAAACAAAUCCCGAUUUUACAAAACUAAGUAAUUUAAAAUCAUUUCUUUCUUUCUUUUUUUUUUCCCCGAGCCUUUCUAACACCCAUGGUCUAAAUACAUUUGAAAUACUUAGCUGUUUUGGAUGUUUAUGUAUUUGUUUGUUUGUUUGUUUGUUUGUUGUGUUACUUCAUGUUACACAUUUGUAAGUAUUAGAAAGGCUCCAAAGAAGAAGAAAAAAUGCAUUUAACAGCUGUUUGUUUGUUUGUUUGUUUGUUUGUUUAUUUAUUUAUUUGGAGCCUUUCAGUACAACCCCAAUUCCAAAACAGUUGGGACGCUGUGUAAAAUGUAAAUAAAAACAGAAUGCAAUGAUUUGCAAAUCUCGUAAACCCGUAUGUUCUUCACAACAGAACACGGAAAACAUAUGGAAUGUUUAAACUGAGUAACUGUACCGUUUUAAGAAAAAAAAUAAGGACAUUUUGAAUUUGGCGUCUCAAAACAGUUGGGACGGGGGGCAGCAAAAGGCUGGAAAAGUAAGUGUUAGUAAAAAGAAAGAGCUGGAGGUUCAUUGGGAACGGGUCAGUCAGAUGAUUGGGGAUAAAGAGAGGAUCUUAGAGAGGCGGAGUCUUUCAGAAGUAAAGAUGGACAGAGUUUCACUGAUCUGUGAAAAACUGCAUCUACAAUUUGUGGAACAAUUUCAGAACAACGUUCCUCAACGUAAAAUUGUGAAGACUAUGAAUAUCUCAUCAUCUACAAAACAUAUCGUCAAAAGAUUCUGAGAAUCUGGAGAGAGGGGCGAGGGUGAAAAUCAAUACUGCAUGCCCGUGAUCUUCGGGCCCUCAGGAGCCACUGUAUUAAAAACAGACAUGAUUCUGUAAUGGAAAUCACUGCAUGGGCUCGGAAACACCUCCAGAACUCAUCGUCUGUGAACACGGUUCACCGAGCCGUCCACAAACGCUGGUUAAAGCUCUAUCAGGCACGGAAGAAGCCGUAUGUGAACGUGAUCCAGAAACGCCGCCGUCUUCUCUGGGACAAAGCUCAUUUAAAAUGGACCGAGGUGACGUGGGAAACUGUUCUGUGGUCAGACGAAUCCAAAUGUGAAAUUCUUUUUGGAACCCAUGAACACCAUGUCCUCUAAACUAAAGAGGAGAGGGACUGUCCAGAUUUUUAUCAGCGCUCGGUUCAAAAGCCCGCGUCUCUGAUGGUAUGGGGGGCGUCAGUGCCUAUGGAAUGCGCAGCAUGCACAUCUGGAAAGGCGACAUCAUUGUUGACAGGUAUAUACAGGUUUUAGAGCAACAUCCAGAUUUCAUCCUACCUUUACUUCUGAAAGACUCCGCCUUUCGAAGAUCCUCUUUUUAUCCCCAAUCAUCUGACUGACCUGUUCCCGAUGAACCUCCAGCUGUUAUGUUG